UACGUAGUGAGCAAGCGUUAUCCGGAUUUAUUGGGUGUAAAGGGUGCGUAGACGGGAAUGCAAGUUAGUUGUGAAAUCCCUCGGCUUAACUGAGGAACUGCAACUAAAACUACAUUUCUUGAGUGCUGGAGAGGAAAGUGGAAUUCCUAGUGUAGCGGUGAAAUGCGUAGAUAUUAGGAGGAACACCAGUGGCGAAGGCGACUUUCUGGACAGUAACUGACGUUGAGGCACGAAAGUGUGGGGAGCAAACAGG
rnacentral:rRNA from 1 species